rnacentral:lncRNA from 1 species
GUCCUUCUGGUUGAUGGUUGGAAAUAAGUUUUUGUUAGAAUGGAGCCAAACUUGGAGGUUUGAAGAGCUUCAAUGAAUCUUCCACUCCCUCUGUUACUUAUAAUUCGCAGAAACCAAUAAGGAUCUGUUUGGAUGUCUGGGGCCUGAAAUCCCAUGAGAUUCAUGAGUGGGGCCAAGACAACCAGCUAAAUUAGACUGGACUAGGACUAUUUUUAUAAGAACCCAAAGAAUCAUUGGGGCAGGCCGGCCCAAGUCCCAUUGGGAGAAAAAAAAUGACCUGCUGAGGUCUUUUUUUUUUUCCUCCUUAUUGGAUUCGGAUCAGCCCA